AUCACCUGGAAAUCUUGUUAAAAUGCAGACCCUGGUUCAAUAUGUCCAGGGUGGGGCCUGAGAUUCUGCAUUUUAAGCAAGUGCCCAGGUGAUGCCAA
rnacentral:pre_miRNA from 1 species